UUAAAACAGAUGCAGAUUUUUCUAUACACACACGAAAAAAAUGAGUUAUGAAUAUUGAACCAGAGCCUGCAGAAAUAUUUAAUGGCUCCGGGAUUACCCAUAAGGCGGUGCGUUUAAAAUUUCGCUGGCGCUGAAGAACCGAACAGAUGCGCAGGCGUCAGGGCUAAUGACGUCGCAAAGCAUGACGCAUGCGCAUGGUACACAGAAGGCCUUGGAAAUAGCGUCUGCAGGUUACAAAUCACAAGGAAUUUCUCUACGGAAAUCUAAAACACAACACACCAGUUUUGCUGUCUCUGUCCAGGUAUUUAAGAAGUGGAGCAAGGGAUUCACUCGAUCAUCAUUCCCGCUCAGACUGCGGAGAGAGAUUCACUCUAUGAUCUGACCAACUGCCACGGCUGUCAUUUUGAACAGGCGAUUCCCAUUCAUCUGCUCAGACAGUGGGAAUGGAUUCAGAUGAACAUUUCAACUGAAGGGACAUCAAUAAGUUCACACUGGGACAAGGCCAUUCACCUGUUCUGUGUGUGAGAAGGGAUUCAGUUGGUCUUCCCACCUGUUGACACACCAGUCAGUUCACACUGGGCAGAGGCUGGUCAUCUGCUGAAUUUGUGUGGAAGGUUUUACUCGGUCAUCUGACCAAAUGGUUCACCAGCGAGUCCACACUGAGGAGAGGCUGUUCACCUGCUCAGACUCUGGGAAGGGAUUCACUAAGUCAUCUAAACUGAAGCUACAUCAGAGAGUUCACACUGGGGAGAGACCGUUUACCUGCUCGGACUGUGGAAAAGGAUUCACUGGCUCAUACCAACUGAAAGUACAUCAAAGAAUUCACACUGGAGAGAGGCCAUUCACCUGCUCAGACUGUGGGAAGGGAUUCACUUGCUCAUAUAAACUGAAGGUACAUCAGCGAGUUCACACUGGAGAGAGGCCAUACACCUGCUCAGACUGUGGGAAGGGAUUCACUUGCUCAUCUAAACUGAAGGUACAUCAGCGAGUUCACACUGGAGAGAGGCCAUUCACCUGCUCAGACUGUGGGAAGGGAUUCACUUGCUCAUCUAAACUGAAGGUACAUCAGCGAGUUCACACUGGAGAGAGGCCAUUCACCUGCUCAGACUGUGGGAAGGGAUUCACUCAGUCAUCCCACCUACAAGCACACAAGUCAGUUCACACUGGGGAGAGGCUGUUUACCUGCUCAUACUGUGGGGAGGGAUUCACUUUGUCAUGGCAGCUACUGAGACACCAGUCUGUUCACACUGGGGCGUGGCCAUUCAUCUGCUCAGUGUGUGGGAAGGGAUUCACUCAGUCAUCCACGCUAAUGGCUCACCAGCGAGUUCACACUGGGGAGCGGCCAUUCACCUGCUCCGUCUGUGGGAAGGGAUUCACUUGCUCAACUGACCUGAAGGUACAUCAGAGAGUUCACACUGGGGAACGGCCAUUCAGAUGCUCAGACUGUGGGAAGGGAUUCACUCGGUCAUCUCACCUAACGGUUCAUCAGCGCGCUCACACAGGGGAGCGGCCAUUCACCUGCUCAGACUGUGGGAAGAGAUUUACUCAUUCAUCCCACCUAUUGGCACACCAGCGAGUUCACACAGGGGAGCGGCCAUUCACCUGUUCAGACUGUGGUAAGGGAUUCACUCGGUCAUCUCAACUGAAGGUGCAUCAGCGAGUUCACACUGGAGAGAGGCCAUACACCUGCUCAGACUGUGGGAAAAGAUUCACUCAGUCAUCUCAAGUGAAGGUACAUCAGAGAGUUCACACUGUGGAACGACCGUUCACCUGCUUAGACUGUGGGAAGGGAUUCACUCUGUCAUCUAAACUGAAGGUACAUCAGCGAGUUCACACUGGGGAGAAGCCAUACACCUGCUCAGUCUGUGGGGAGGGAUUCACUUUGUCAUCGCAGCUACUGAGACACCAGUCUGUUCACACUAGCGAGAGGCCAUUCAACUGCUCAGUGUGUGGGAAGGGAUUCACUCAGUCAUCCACCCUAAUGGCUCACCAGAGAGUUCACACUGGGGAGCGGCCGUUCACCUGCUCGGACUGUAGGAAGGGAUUCACUUGUUCAACUGACCUGAAGGUCCAUCAGAGAGUUCACACUGGGGAACGGCGGUUCAGAUGCUCAGACUGUGGGAAGGGAUUCACUCGGUCAUCACACCUAAUGGUUCAUCAGCGAAUUCACACCGGGGAGAGGCCAUUCACCUGCUCAGAGUGUGGGAAAGGAUUCACUCAGUCACACCACCUACAAAAACACUGGUCAGUUCACACUGGGGAGAAGCCAUUCACAGACUCAAGCCUGAAUUAUACCUCUGUGUAGACGCUACAGUGUAUCAUACACAGUAGCCCACGCAAGUGGCCUAUGCCAUUGUGUGCAUUUUUCAUUGUGAGUUCGUGUGUCUGUGUUGCCCUGGCAAAACGCUAGUCGGCAUUGGGGUUCUAUGCUACUGUGUUGAAUUGACUCGUGGAGUUGGGAAUGAUGGCGACUGCUGAGUUCAUCUUGUUGGAUUUGGAGCUAAUAGAUGCUGAAUAAGAGUUAUUGAAAUCACUGCAGCGCAGAAAAGAGAGAAGUUUUUCCAUUUCUUUGUGCAGUCCGUGACGUCCAAACUGAUGUUUGUGGAAACUUCUUUGCACAAAUUUCAUACCAUUUGCAAGUCUUUAUAAUAUACCAAUGAAGAGUCGUACAAAUGUAGAUAUUUUCUGACUUCCUGACUUAACCUCUCCUCGAUUUGGUCCAUUUUCCCAACUUUGAAGCAACAGGAAAUCUCUAGGAGGAAAUGUGCUGUUACCAAGCAGACCAAUCACAGUUCUCGCAGUCUGUGACACACAGUUACAUUUUCGUAAGGUGUGCUUUAGGCUACGGCGUACGGUAUGGCCUAGAGUGCCGUGUCGGGUACGCAGCUACGCGGAGCGUACGGUGAAGCAUAAUCCAGGCUUCAGUGUGUGGGAAGUGAUUCACUCCGACAUCUGAACUGCAGAGACACCAGUGAGCUCACACUGGGGAGAGGCCGAUCUCAUGCUCAGACGUUGGGAAGAUAUUCCCUCAGCAAAAUCAACUUAAUGUGCAUCAUUGAGUUCACACUGGGGAGAGACCGUUCACCUGCUGUGUAUUUCAGAAGCGAUUCACUCAGUAAUCUAACCCUGUGCAACUCUUACUUCGGCUAGCAGCUAAAUAUAGGGGGUGAUAUCCCCCAGCCCGGCCAAACUUAAGAAAUCUUGUUUGGGUGGAUGCUGUGUGACGUAUCCCCUGUUACAAAUCAGUACCCCCGCAGUAACAAACGAUACACAAUAUGUGAUUAAACGACUGAGAUGUACAAUUCUUACUUUGACUAGAUGGUUAGUGAAGUAAUGAAAAAGAAAGAAAAAGAGCCCACUCUCUCUUCUUCCCAUCUCUCCCCAGCAAAAGGCCAUGAAAAUCUCUCUACCAGACUCACAAGAAAGAACAUUUCUGUCAUUGGAUAGCCCCACACUCCAAAACCCUGUUAUCGCUAGUCGUACCCUAAACAUUGCUGCUGCAGGGAAGCCAUUAACUCAGCAGGGAAACAUUGCAGAGAGUCCACUGCAUCAGCAGUGAAACCUUACAGUGCAUUACACUUGUGACACACUACCGGGUGCACACUGGGGAGAAAGUUUCAAUGAGUUGCAUGCUGCAUAUUUGUCCAUCACCGUUGCUGUGUUACGUACCCCGUAACUGGGUGUCUGACCAGCAAAGAUAGAAGAAUCCGUUGGAGUCUGGGGGUGGGGGGACAUGGGCAACUCUGCACCCUUCUGCCCAUCAGAGCUGUUCAUCCUUCGUAGCAGUUGUCGGUGCUGAACUCUGCAAUUAUUGCUG